GACGAACGCUGGCGGCGUGCUUAACACAUGCAAGUCGAACGGUGAAAGCGGAGCUUGCUCCGCUGGAUCAGUGGCGAACGGGUGAGUAACACGUGGGCAACCUGCCCCUCACUUCGGGAUAACUCCGGGAAACCGGGGCUAAUACCGAAUACGACCUCCUUGGGCAUCCUUGGAGGUGGAAAGUUUUUCGGUGAGGGAUGGGCCCGCGGCCUAUCAGCUUGUUGGUGAGGUAGUGGCUCACCAAGGCGACGACGGGUAGCCGGCCUGAGAGGGCGACCGGCCACACUGGGACUGAGACACGGCCCAGACUCCUACGGGAGGCAGCAGUGGGGAAUAUUGCGCAAUGGGCGAAAGCCUGACGCAGCAACGCCGCGUGCGGGAUGAAGGCC
rnacentral:rRNA from 1 species